AAUAGGUAAUAACCUAUCCGUAGGUAGCCAAUUUAUAACCUAACAUUAGCUUAAGUAACGUUAAGCUAACUUAGUAAAUUAAUUAGUAACGUUGAUAAACGUUAGCUAUAACGUGUUUGUUUGUGUAAACUUGGCUACUGUAAAGGUCUAGGGAGUUUUUAGGCUCAAAAAAUCAUGAUCAAUCACUCGCUGACGUUAUUCACCGUUGGUCACGAAGAGCAGUAACGGCGUUACUGCGUAGGCGACGUUACGGUCGUAACGGCAGGCAGCCACCGUGAUGGCUUCAACUGACCAAAUUCACCCAAACUGUCGUUUUGUCCUGCGAUGGGGACGUAAGCUCUCAACACUGCACACAAAAUUGGCAGCACUGCACAGUCCUAAAAUAACCUGUGCAGCUCAGAGGAUUGUCCUAAUGCCAUUACAUUACUACUGAGCAAGCAGGAGAGACACUGAAGGGUUGGGACAGGAGGAGCGGGGACACUUCACCUUAUGACACCAAAGAAUAAUCUUCCCAACUCUGGGCCCCAAAGACAGACUUCAAUGUGGGGACUGCCUUCCCCCGUCCCUCAGGCUCCCCUCAAGGCUGCCUACAGCAGCAGCAUUGGGUUUCACCCAUAGACUGUAUGGUUUCACCACAUCUCUAAGGUGAAUCAACACAAUGCUCUUCACAUUUUAUCCAUCUUAGGUAUUGUAUCAGAUACUGU